CAGGGGGCAGCUACCAUGCAGUCGACGCGUAACGGGGGCAACUCCCGGUAGCGUGGCACACGGGUGAGUAACACGUGGGUAACCUACCCGGAGGUGGGGGAUAACCCUUCCAAAGGAGGGCUAAUACCGCAUGACAUCCCAUGGUCCCCGGACUUUGGGAUCAAAGCUGGCCUCUGUUUACAAGCUAGCGCCACUGGAGGGGCCCGCGCCCCAUUAGCUAGUUGGUGAGGUCAUGGCUCACCAAGGCGACGAUGGGUAGCCGGCCUGAGAGGGUGAUCGGCCACACUGGAACUGAGACACGGUCCAGACUCCUACGGGAGGCAGCAGUGAGGAAUCUUGCGCAAUGGGCGAAAGCCUGACGCAGCGACGCCGCGUGGAGGAUGAAGGUCCUCGGAUUGUAAACUCCUGUGAGGUGGGACGAAUGCCGCGAGGGUGAACAUCCCUCGCGGUUGACGGUACCAUCAGAGGAAGCCCCGGCUAACUCCGUGCCAGCAGCCGCGGUAAUACGGAGGGGGCAAGCGUUGUUCGGAAUCAUUGGGCGUAAAGGGCGCGUAGGCGGCUGACCAAGCCGGACGUGAAAUCCCUCGGCUCAACUGGGGAACUGCGUCCGAUACUGUUCAGCUUGAGUCCCGGAGAGGGUAGUGGAAUUCCCAGUGUAGCGGUGAAAUGCGUAGAUACUGGGAGGAACACCGGUGGCGAAGGCGGCUACCUGGGCGGGUACUGACGCUGAGGCGCGAAAGCUAGGGGAGCAAACAGGAUUAGAUACCCUGGUAGUCCUAGCUGUAAACGAUGGGCACUUGGUGUUGCGGGUAUCGACCCCUGCAGUGCCGAAGCUAACGCAUUAAGUGCCCCGCCUGGGGAGUACGGUCGCAAGGCUGAAACUCAAAGGAAUUGACGG
rnacentral:rRNA from 1 species